AUUCUGGAUUCUGUUUCAGGUGCCCUUCGGGGAGAAUAGGGAAGCCGGUUCAAGCCGGCGCGGACCCACCACUGUGUGCGAUGAACCUGCGCAAAGCCACCGGUCUUUCGGGCCGGGAAGGCGCGCAAAGGUGAAGAUUCGAGAGCCAGGAGACCUGCCUGAAACGCAAGAGACUC
rnacentral:ncRNA from 2 species